UACGGAGGGGGCAAGCGUUAUUCGGAAUUAUUGGGCGUAAAGCGCGCGUAGGCGGCUUGGUAAGUGGAUGGUGAAAUCCCUCGGCUUAACCGAGGAACUGCCGUCCAAACUGCUUCGCUUGAGACCGGGAGAGGUGAGUGGAAUUCCCAGUGUAGCGGUGAAAUGCGUAGAUAUUGGGAGGAACACCAGUGGCGAAGGCAGCUCACUGGACCGGUACUGACGCUGAUGCGCGAAAGCGUGGGGAGCAAACGGG
rnacentral:rRNA from 1 species